rnacentral:rRNA from 1 species
GAUGAACGUUGGCGGCGUGCCUAAUACAUGCAAGUCGAGCGAACGGACGAGAAGCUUGCUUCUCUGAUGUUAGCGGCGGACGGGUGAGUAACACGUGGAUAACCUACCUAUAAGACUGGGAUAACUUCGGGAAACCGGAGCUAAUACCGGAUAAUAUUUUGAACCGCAUGGUUCAAAAGUGAAAGACGGCCUUGCUGUCACUUAUAGAUGGAUCCGCGCUGCAUUAGCUAGUUGGUAAGGUAACGGCUUACCAAGGCAACGAUGCAUAGCCGACCUGAGAGGGUGAUCGGCCACACUGGAACUGAGACACGGUCCAGACUCCUACGGGAGGCAGCAGUAGGGAAUCUUCCGCAAUGGGCGAAAGCCUGACGGAGCAACGCCGCGUGAGUGAUGAAGGUCUUCGGAUCGUAAAACUCUGUUAUUAGGGAAGAACAUAUGUGUAAGUAACUGUGCACAUCUUGACGGUACCUAAUCAGAAAGCCACGGCUAACUACGUG